rnacentral:rRNA from 1 species
AGUAACACGUGGAUAACCUACCUAUAAGACUGGGAUAACUUCGGGAAACCGGAGCUAAUACCGGAUAAUAUAUUGAACCGCAUGGUUCAAUAGUGAAAGACGGUUUUGCUGUCACUUAUAGAUGGAUCCGCGCCGCAUUAGCUAGUUGGUAAGGUAACGGCUUACCAAGGCAACGAUGCAUAGCCGACCUGAGAGGGUGAUCGGCCACACUGGAACUGAGACACGGUCCAG